rnacentral:rRNA from 1 species
AGCGAACGCUGGCGGCAGGCUUAACACAUGCAAGUCGAACGGGCGUAGCAAUACGUCAGUGGCAGACGGGUGAGUAACGCGUGGGAACGUACCUUUUGGUUCGGAACAACCCAGGGAAACUUGGGCUAAUACCGGAUAAGCCCUUACGGGAAGGAUUAUCGCCGAAGAUCGGCCCGCGUCUGAUUAGCUAGUUGGUGAGGUAACGGCUCACCAAGGCGACGAUCAGUAGCUGGUCUGAGAGGAUGAUCAGCCACAUU